ACCCAUUGAUAAAAGGCUCAUUACAUGGGCUUUUGAUGCCCUCUUCUUGGGGAGGUUCAUUGGAUGUUUCGGAUACAGGUAGCAGAUCUGGAGGAAAAAGGAAGAUUGUGCAUCAUUGCAAAUUCCCUCAGUGCUAAAAAGGUACGUACCAAAUUCUGAAUCAUCACG